UUUAGAACCCAUUGGAAUAGACCUGCAAAAGCCAUAACUAGAUAAGUAAUUCCAUACCAACGAACAACAAUUAAGCCGCAUCAUAUAUCAUGCUCAACCAAACUAGUUCACCUCAUGCACCAUUCCCAAUCCUUGAACCAACAACUGUACUUAAAGUUUCAAAAAAUAAACCAGUAUUUUAACACAAAAGAAUUCCAGUUCAUUUAUAAAACGUAAUCUCUUUCAUUUCCAAUAAUGUGAGAACAAAUUAAACAAAAGCAAUCAAUCAUGGCAUUUUCUGACUCAACUAUGAUAACCCAGUUUAGUUCCAUGGUAGUCAAAGAGAAGCCAAACCCAAUCAGACAAAAUAAACAUUCAAAAAGUUCCAGCGUCGUGAUGCCAACCACUUCCUAUUCAUUGUAGCACAAAAACAUCACUAUCCCAGAUUACAUUCAACUCCACGAAAUCAAAGCCAAACUCAAAAACACAACUAUCACAGAGCAAAAGGGGGAAAAAAGAAAAUUUUGCAUUCCAGACUUUACAUUAUAUCUACAAACCCAAACAUUAACUGAAGACAUGUCCUUACAACCAAAAAUCAAUAACAAAUUAAUAAGCAGUAACAAAAGAGAUCAGUUCAUUGGAGACAAACAAAAAUCAACAAAACAAAGAAAAA
rnacentral:misc_RNA from 1 species